rnacentral:rRNA from 1 species
GAUGAACGCUGGCGGCGUGCCUAAUACAUGCAAGUCGAGCGAACAGACGAGGAGCUUGCUCCUCUGACGUUAGCGGCGGACGGGUGAGUAACACGUGGAUAACCUACCUAUAAGACUGGGAUAACUUCGGGAAACCGGAGCUAAUACCGGAUAAUAUAUUGAACCGCAUGGUUCAAUAGUGAAAGACGGUUUUGCUGUCACUUAUAGAUGGAUCCGCGCCGCAUUAGCUAGUUGGUAAGGUAACGGCUUACCAAGGCAACGAUGCGUAGCCGACCUGAGAGGGUGAUCGGCCACACUGGAACUGAGACACGGUCUAGACUCCUACGGGAGGCAGCAGUAGGGAAUCUUCCGCAAUGGGCGAAAGCUUGACGGAGCAACGCCGCGUGAGUGAUGAAGGUCUUCGGAUCGUAAAACUCUGUUAUUAGGGAAGAACAAAUGUGUAAGUAACUAUGCACGUCUUGACGGCACCUAAUCAGAAAGCCACGGCUAACUACGUG